GAUGAACGCUGGCGGCGUGCUUAACACAUGCAAGUCGAACGAUGAAGCCCAGCUUGCUGGGUGGAUUAGUGGCGAACGGGUGAGUAACACGUGAGUAACCUGCCCUUGACUCUAGGAUAAGCCCGGGAAACUGGGUCUAAUACUGGAUAGGAACGUCUACCGCAUGGUGGGUGUUGGAAAGAAUUUCGGUCAUGGAUGGACUCGCGGCCUAUCAGCUUGUUGGUGAGGUAAUGGCUCACCAAGGCGACGACGGGUAGCCGGCCUGAGAGGGUGACCGGCCACACUGGGACUGCGACACGGCCCAGACUCCUACGGGAGGCAGCAGUGGGGAAUAUUGCACAAUGGGCGAAAGCCUGAUGCAGCGACGCCGCGUGAGGGAUGACGGCCUUCGGGUUGUAAACCUCUUUCAGUAGGGAAGAAGCGAAAGUGACGGUACCUGCAGAAGAAGCACCGGCUAACUACGUG
rnacentral:rRNA from 1 species